rnacentral:pre_miRNA from 1 species
AGCUGCUGGACACUGCACAAGAUUAGCGAUUAAAACUCUUGUGCGUGUGACAGCGGCUAU